CAACGAAUCUUCCCCAAUGCCGGAAACGGUGAGGGAGCGACGCCGCGUGAAGGACGAAGUACUUCGGUAUGUAAACUUCUGUAAGGAUCGUGAAAGUUGAGCGCCUAAUACGCGCAAAGAUUGAUCUGGUCCCUAAAAGGGGCGGCUAACUCUGUGCCAGCAGCCGCGGUAAUACAGAGGCCCCAAGCGUUACUGAGAAUCACUGGGUUUAAAGGGUGCGUAGGUGGCGCGUUAAGUCCGUUGUGAAAUCCCUGGGCUCAACCCAGGAAUUGCUUCGGAUACUGGCGUGCUUGAGGCUAGUAGGGGUCACUGGAACUGACGGUGGAGCGGUGAAAUGCGUAGAUAUCGUCAGGAACGCCGAUGGUGAAGACAGGUGACUGGGCUAGUUCUGACACUGAGGCACGAAAGCGUGGGGAGCGAACGGGAUUAGAUACCCCCGUAGUCC
rnacentral:rRNA from 1 species